UACGUAGGGGGCAAGCGUUGUCCGGAUUUAUUGGGCGUAAAGAGCGUGUAGGCGGCCAAACAGGUCAGCUGUGAAAACUCGAGGCUCAACCUCGAGACGUCGGUUGAAACCGUUUGGCUAGAGUCCGGAAGAGGAGAGUGGAAUUCCCGGUGUAGCGGUGAAAUGCGCAGAUAUCGGGAAGAACACCCGUGGCGAAGGCGGCUCUCUAGUACGGUACUGACGCUGAGACGCGAAAGCGUGGGGAGCGAACAGG
rnacentral:rRNA from 1 species